UGGGGGAUUUUGCACAAUGGGCGCAAGCCUGAUGCAGCGACGCCGCGUGAGGGAUGAAGGCCUUCGGGUUGUAAACCUCUUUCGCUGGGUUGAAAGGCCAUGCUUUGGGUGUGGUUGAUUUGAACUGGUAAAGAAGUACCGGCUAACUACGUGCCAGCAGCCGCGGAAAUUCGUAGGGUACUAGCGUUGUCCGGAUUUAUUGGGCGUAAAGGGCUUGUAGGUGGUUUGUCGCGUCUGUCGUGAAAUCCUGUGGCUUAACCAUGGGCUUGCGGUUGCUACGGGCAGGCUUGUGUGCGGUAGGGGAGACUGGAAUUCCUGGUGUGGCGGUGCAAUGAGCAGCUAUCAGGAGGAACCCCUGUGGCGAAGGCGAGUCUCUGGGCCGUUACUGACACUGAGGAGCGAAAGCGUGGGGAGCGAACAGC
rnacentral:rRNA from 1 species